CCUACGGGUGGCUGCAGUGAGGCAUAUUGGUCAAUGGACGGAAGUCUGAACCAGCCAUGCCGCGUGCAGGAUGACGGCUCUAUGAGUUAUAACCUGCUUUUGUACGAGAAUAAUUGUUCUUACUUUUAGGGCUUUGAAUGUAUCGUGCUAAUACUGAUCGGCUAACUCCGUGCCAGCAGCCGCGGUAAUACUGAGGAUUCGAGCGUUAUCCGGAUUUAUUGGGUUUAAAGGGUGCGUAGGCUGUUGGAUAAGUUAGAGGUGAAAGCCGGAGGCUCAACUUCUGAAUUGCAUAUGAUACUGUUCGGCUAGAGAGUAGUUGCGGUAGGCGGAAUGUAUGGUGUAGCGGUGAAAUGCUUAGAGAUCAUACAGAACACAGAUGGCGAAGGCAGCUUACCAAGCUACUUCUGACGUUGAGGCACGAAAGCGUGGGGAGCAAACAGGAUUAGAUACCCCUGUAGUC
rnacentral:rRNA from 1 species